rnacentral:rRNA from 1 species
CCUGGUGGUUAUAGCGAGAGAGAAACGCCUGAUCCCAUCCCGAACUCAGAAGCUAAGACUCUUUGCGCCGAUGGUACUUUAGCGUUCGCUACGGGAGAGUAGGUCACUGCCAGGA